rnacentral:rRNA from 1 species
UACGUAGGGUGCGAGCGUUAAUCGGAAUUAUUGGGCGUAAAGCGUGCGCAGGCGGUUCGUUGUGUCGGCGGUGAAAGCCCCGGGCUUAACCUGGGAACGGCCGUUGAAACUGGCGAACUGGAGUGUGGCAGAGGGGGGUGGAAUUCCGCGUGUAGCAGUGAAAUGCGUAGAGAUGCGGAGGAACACCGAUGGCGAAGGCAGCCCCCUGGGCUAACACUGACGCUCAGGCACGAAAGCGUGGGGAGCAAACAGG